rnacentral:rRNA from 1 species
GAUGAACGCUAGCUACAGGCUUAACACAUGCAAGUCGAGGGGCAGCAUGGUCUUAGCUUGCUAAGGCCGAUGGCGACCGGCGCACGGGUGAGUAACACGUAUCCAACCUGCCGUCUACUCUUGGACAGCCUUCUGAAAGGAAGAUUAAUACAAGAUGGCAUCAUGAGUCCACAUGCUCACAUGAUUAAAGGUAUUCCGGUAGACGAUGGGGAUGCGUUCCAUUAGAUAGUAGGCGGGGUAACGGCCCACCUAGUCUUCGAUGGAUAGGGGUUCUGAGAGGAAGGUCCCCCACAUUGGAACUGAGACACGGUCCAAACUCCUACGGGAGGCAGCAGUGAGGAAUAUUGGUCAAUGGGCGAGAGCCUGAACCAGCCAAGUAGCGUGAAGGAUGACUGCCCUAUGGGUUGUAAACUUCUUUUAUAAAGGAAUAAAGUCGGGUAUGGAUACCCGUUUGCAUGUACUUUAUGAAUAAGGAUCGGCUAACUCCGUGCCAGCAGCCGCGGUAAUACGGAGGAUCCGAGCGUUAUCCGGAUUUAUUGGGUUUAAAGGGAGCGUAGAUGGAUGUUUAAGUCAGUUGUGAAAGUUUGCGGCUCAACCGUAAAAUUGCAGUUGAUACUGGAUAUCUUGAGUGCAGUUGAGGCAGGCGGAAUUCGUGGUGUAGCGGUGAAAUGCUUAGAUAUCACGAAGAACUCCGAUUGCGAAGGCAGCCUGCUAAGCUGCAACUGACAUUGAGGCUCGAAAGUGUGGGUAUCAAACAGGAUUAGAUACCCUGGUAGUCCACACGGUAAACGAUGAAUACUCGCUGUUUGCGAUAUACAGCAAGCGGCCAAGCGAAAGCGUUAAGUAUUCCACCUGGGGAGUACGCCGGCAACGGUGAAACUCAAAGGAAUUGACGGGGGCCCGCACAAGCGGAGGAACAUGUGGUUUAAUUCGAUGAUACGCGAGGAACCUUACCCGGGCUUAAAUUGCAGAUGAAUUACGGUGAAAGCCGUAAGCCGCAAGGCAUCUGUGAAGGUGCUGCAUGGUUGUCGUCAGCUCGUGCCGUGAGGUGUCGGCUUAAGUGCCAUAACGAGCGCAACCCUUGUUGUCAGUUACUAACAGGUUCCGCUGAGGACUCUGACAAGACUGCCAUCGUAAGAUGUGAGGAAGGUGGGGAUGACGUCAAAUCAGCACGGCCCUUACGUCCGGGGCUACACACGUGUUACAAUGGGGGGUACAGAGGGCCGCUACCACGCGAGUGGAUGCCAAUCCCAAAAACCUCUCUCAGUUCGGACUGGAGUCUGCAACCCGACUCCACGAAGCUGGAUUCGCUAGUAAUCGCGCAUCAGCCACGGCGCGGUGAAUACGUUCCCGGGCCU